GGGCAAGUGCGGGGGUCGUAGGGGUUCCCGAUCCUUCCUUUCCCACUUCCCCUUUUUUGCCCGCCCGCUACCCAACCGCCGCCGCGGUUCUCGCUGCCAGCGACGGACGGGCCACACCGCGCAGGGGCUCAGCCCCGCCACCCACCUUAACCCCGCCGUCGGGAGGCGUCGUCCCCGGCCCGGCCCGGCCCGGCCCUCGCCCUCUACUGCAACUGGACUGGCGCGUAGACCUGUCCCCGCCACGAGAUCGUUCCGCCCUAUGUCGGUGAAGAUGCUCUUUGCAUAGCUCAAGCUGCAAUCUGAUGGACCCUGAUGACAAGAAGUUUGGAAAUGGACCAAGGGAGCUCACUGGUGCUGUUGAUUUGAUCAGCCACUACAAACUGCUGCCACACCAUGAUUUCUUUUGCAAGAAACCUUUGCCGCUGGCAAUAUCAGAUACACAUUAUCUUCACAAUGUUGUGGGAGACACUGAAAUUCGCAAAGGAGAAGGAAUGGAGUUAGAUCAACUUGUUCAUAAUGCAUAUCUGAGGGAUAAACCUGCUUAUAUUCAGCCCUUUGAUAUGGAAACUCUGGGGCAAGCGUUCCAACUUCGAGAAACAGCUCUUGUGGAUUUGCCUUCUACUGAAAAAGGUAUACCGACUAUUUCGGGUAAACCAAAAAGUGAGUCCAAGGACAAAGAGAAGAAGCAUAAAAGGCACAAAGACAAAGACAAGGAACACAAGAAGCACAAACAUCGGCAUAAGGAUCGGAGUAAGGACAAAGAUAAAGACAAAGACAAGGAUAAGAAAAAAGAUAAAAGUGGCCAUCAUGAAAAGAAGAGGAAGCAUGAGGGAACAGAAGAUUCAGUAGAUGUGCAUAAGCACAAGAAGAGUAAGCACAAGAGCUCCAAAACCGAUGAGAUGGGGAAUGGAGUUAGUUAACACUUCCUAGCUCUACCUCCAAUCCUUGUAAUUUGCUGUUAAAACUUAAAAGGAGACAGACGGUCUCUGCUAUCAAAACCCUGUGCAGAAUAGUGCUUCAUCUCUACAAUAUCUAAAUAUGCAAUGGCAUUGACAGCUACUCAGAUUCUAUGUGGGGCUAAUUUGGUGACCAGAGAAAUGGAGGUGAUCCAUGGGGUGAAUAGCAAGGCCCAUGGAUCCCCUCCAUUUCCCUGGUCACCAAACCAGUAGGGUGUGUUUGGUUUCAGGAAUGAGGUGGUCCAUCUUCUCAUUCACUUUUUUAUUUGGUUUGUAGAACCCAACCAAUUAGGACCUUAAGCCAUUUUAAGAGGCGACAUUCCUAUGAGCUAACAUUAGUCUCAUCUGAUCUUUAGCUCCAUCUCUACAAUAUCUAAAUAUGCAAUGGCAUUGACAGCUACUCAGAUUCUAUGUGGGGCUGAUUUGGUGACCAGGGAAAUGGAGGGGAUCCAUGGGGAGGAAUCCCCCUUGCUAUUCACCCCAUGGACCCCCUCCGUUUCCCUGGUCACCAAACCCGGUAGGCUGUGUUUGGUUUCAGGAAUGAGGUGGUCCAUCUUCUCAUUCCUUUUUUUAUUUGGUUUGUGGAAUAUAAUGAGUUGAUCCAUCGCACCCCAUUCCUCACAAGCUAAUAAUUAGUAUAUACAUGUGGAACGAGUUGAUUCCACUGAAAUUUAUUUUAUGAAUUCAUCAUGCAUCACCUCAUGAACCAUAGGGUGACUCCACAAACCAAACUCACCAUUAAUUGAACUGUUCAUUAAUUAGUUGCUCGUGCGUUACAACACUUUGUAUACAUUAUAUAGAUAGUCCUUGCUUAAAUGAGAUAAUUAUUCGGUCACCAUAUAGAUUCUCAGAAUACACCAAAAAGAGACAACCGGGAACCAGGAUAGGCUCAACACAUGCACCAGCAGUCGGCGCGCCUCCGACGCCUCACACGGAUCUAAACACGCGGCGAUACGGUUCUGAGGUCGUAUCACACGGAUUGGGCUGCGUCUUGUGGUGCACCUAGGAUUUCACCCUAGAGAUAUCGUGCAACAGUGUGGCGAGGAAAGAGGCGGAGACAACGAGCAGCGAGGUAUGUGGUGUGGGGUGAGACAAGAUGAAGUUUUUUCUCUUAUUUUUUUCCACGCUCGCGAGAUUAGGGAUGGUGAUGGUGGAGUUGUUGGACUAUAGAUGGUCAAAUGGGUCGUGCUUGACGGGCUAGCUCGAGACACGAGUCAUUUAAUAGUGUUGAGGCCCGACACGUGAACCGUGUCAUGCCUAGGCCUCCUUGUCGACCCCGCAACAAUUUUAAUAGUGCAUUGAGAGACCCCACUGUUAAUAGUGUGUUGAGUUGUCACUGGUAUGCCGCGAUCUCAACUAAAACCGAGCCAUCAUGAUUUCUUUCUGUAAUAGAGCCAGAGAAACAAUAAUAUUAAGGUCCAAAGUGCAUUGAAUAAACACAACAAUGUUGAUAUCUGGUUUUAAGCCAUCAACAAACCUAUUCACAAUAGCUGACACACUAAACAAAGGAUUGUGAGCAAGUAUUUGGUGCAUAAGUGUGUCAAAUUCAUCUUGUACUUAGAGACACUGUUCGACUGCCUAACAUGAGAAACUGUCGGAUACGGUGGUUAUGUUGGUCUCUCUCAAAUCUAGCAUAAACAAUGCAUAGAAUUUAGGACAAUGAGUCUGUCUAUAAGACCAGGAUCCACAGACUGAAGCCAAAAGGCUGUCGAGCCCACAAAAUAUAUGACAACAAUUUUCACCCAUAACUGAUGGGCCACAGAAAAAACUUAAAAGUACGACUCACAUUUUGUCUUCCACAUUUUUGGAUGGUGGCCAUCAAAUCGAGGGAAACUCAAUUGAGGCAAGACAACAACCACAUGUGGAGGAUAAACUAGUAGAAGUGAAUUAGACUGACGCGGUAUAAAAGUUAAAGCAAAACCCUGAGGUAGGAACGAGUGAGUACCUGUGAUCGGACCUGUGGAGUUAGAGUGGUGACCACUUCAAAACCAGAACUUCGGUGAAACUUGGAAGCGUCCAGAUCACUAAUCCCAUAGCUGUUCGUUGCCCCGCAUUUGCGCUGAGUGAGGAAUGCGGCACUAAUGUUUUGAGGGUUGCGAUCGAAAAUCUUGAGGGCAUCCCGAAAAGGCACCAAUUCUUCCACUUUGUCGGCCAACUGUGCCACCUCAACGAGCAGAUGGUCCACUGCCACAUUCACUUGGGGCUUCCAUGCUACCAAUUUCCGCGCGACCGCGAUAUUUUCUUCAAGAGUUUGUUUGAUCAAUUUGUUCUGACUCUGCGUAUUUUGUAACAAAGUGGUGAGAUCUGCGAUAUUACGCUCCAUAGCCUCCGAUUGUUUUUGACCGCGAGUCUUGAAUUGAGGGCGACGACGGUAGUCAGGAAGGUCUGUCGGGAUUGGCCUGAAUAAUCUGCUUUUGUAUCUUUGGGCUAGUCAAAGUGCAAUUACCUGGAGCGUUGUUAAGAACAUACUUGUUGACCUCUUCACUAUUUACAGCA